UAAUAAGUGUUUUAUGGCACUUUUAAAUCCACAUCCACCUUGUGUGCAAUGUCAGUCGAUCUUCUUCAUGGAGAUCGACCAAACAUCAACCUUUAUCUUUUAACUCUUUGUCUGAAAAUAUUAUGAAUAAACAAUUCAAAAUA
rnacentral:misc_RNA from 1 species